UCUACAAAUGGAAAGCCGUGGUUACUCCUGUCACUCCAGGAGUUCAGCUUGUCUUUCUAAGAAAUUGACCUUGCAAUUUUCCAGCAUUAGAAGAUGUAAGUACCUGAAAUGGUAUUAUGGGUAUACAACAAUAUUUGCACUGUUUAAAGUUACUGCCAUUAGCUUGUAAUUGGCCAGGUAAUACUUCAGACGAGUUUGAACGUAUAGACAUGUCCUCCUCUUCAGACUCAAGUUUCUUUUGUACUGAAUUGGUUACUUAUAACGGUUUCAGGUUCUUCAUCUGUAUUGGUCUUACAAAAUUGCCGAAGUGGCCAUGCAGUUCAUUGUAAAAGGAACGGUGGAGAAAGAUGCUCGCAGUGAUGAUGAACUGUCUGGUCCAGAGGAAGAGAAACCAGAAAUAAACAAACAUGGUGACGGCGUUAUGGUGGAUAACAAAAAGAAGCAAUGAAGUAACGCGAGAACAAGACACAGCCUUUCGUUUUCGGAGUUGCAACUUUCAUAUUUUUGACUUGCAAAUCUCCAGAUUUUACACAUUUUUUCAACCAGUAACCCGUUUACUCCAAUAAUAUGUUGAUCAAACCGAGUAAAGACAAACAAUGGAAAAGCACCAACAAAAAAACUAGGAGCCAGGGCUUCAAGCAAAAUUCAGAAAUGUCAAGAGUAAGAAAACUGGUAAACCCAGCAGAGUGAUCUUGAGCCAAUGUUUUAGAGCUUAUGUGUAAACAGCUUACAUGGUAUGUUUGUCGUUUUGAGAAUUUCUUGUUUCUCAUUUUUCGAAUGCACUACCUGGGGUCAUCCAAACUCUCUCCACCAAGGAUGGGGUGGGGUGCCAAGACAAGUUGUGGCAAUGCCAUCCUGAUAGGAUUACUCACUGAUUGUUUCUGACUGAAUGAAUAAAAACCGCAAAAAUCGUUUAGAAACUGUAAAGAGGACAUGGUAAAAUUGCAAAUUGUCUGCAUUAGUUAUUAGAAAGGUUUAGAAGAAAACACUCUGAUUUGGCUCGUUUGUUAAACAUUCAAUAAGCGAAAUAUAACUAACUUUACAACCAUCAAAUCCUGGCAGAUUUUAGUUUUGAAUGAUCCCGGUUUAGUCCGUUUUAUAGUGCAUAAAAAAAAAUGAAAGAAUUUUGAGACGUA